rnacentral:lncRNA from 1 species
GUACGGAAAGGAGUUAUGAUCACUGACCCAAAGGAAAUUAAAUAUUUAAAGAGUUAGGAAUGGGGUUCCUCCUAGAAUCAACGUGGAAAAUAGGUGAUAAGAAUCGAAGUGAAAUACUUCUCUCACUCUGAGUCUCUGAAUGCUGUGGAAAGUAAACUUGGAAUUGAUAGUACAAAAAUAAAACACAACAGGCCUAAGUACACUGUACAUUGUUCAUACACUUUUAACCAG